rnacentral:rRNA from 1 species
GAUGGUCAUGCGUCGCAUUAGCUAGUUGGCGGGGUAACGGCCCACCAAGGCGACGAUGCGUAGGGGUUCUGAGAGGAAGGUCCCCCACACUGGUACUGAGACACGGACCAGACUCCUACGGGAGGCAGCAGUGAGGAAUAUUGGUCAAUGGCCGCAGGCCUGAACCAGCCAAGUCGCGUGAGGGAUGACGGUCCUAUGGAUUGUAAACCUCUUUUGUCAGGGAGCAAAGGGCGCCACGUGUGGCGCUUUGCGAGUACCUGAAGAAAAAGCAUCGGCUAACUCCGUGCCAGCAGCCGCGGUAAUACGGAGGAUGCGAGCGUUAUCCGGAUUUAUUGGGUUUAAAGGGUGCGCAGGCGGAAUGUCAAGUCAGCGGUAAAAUUUCGGGGCUCAACCCCGUCGUGCCGUUGAAACUGGCGUUCUUGAGUGAGCGAGAAGUAUGCGGAAUGCGUGGUGUAGCGGUGAAAUGCAUAGAUAUCACGCAGAACUCCGAUUGCGAAGGCAGCAUACCGGCGCUCAACUGACGCUCAUGCACGAAAGCGUGGGUAUCGAACAGGAUUAGAUACCCUGGUAGUCCACGCAGUAAACGAUGAAUACUAACUGUCCGGGCAGAAUGAUGCCUGG